AAAAUAAAUUGAUUUUAUUUGUUUAUUCACUGGCGCCAGAGUCGGGAAUAAAAAAAUAUUGAUUUAAAUUUAUUUUGUUUAUACCUGCGUAAUAUUUACCAACGCCAGAGUUGAAAAUAUUCGUAGUUAAAUAUUCACUGCCGCCAGAGUCAGGAAUAUUAUAAGCAAAUUUUUAUAACAUAAACUAAUAAACAUUUAGCAAUUUAAGACGAAACUAGCAAUGCAGCCUGCCUCAGGCAGGACGUUUAAGGGGUGAUAAAAUCUUCCCUUUUACGUAACCAGUCCCGA
rnacentral:lncRNA from 1 species